rnacentral:rRNA from 1 species
GAUGAACGCUGGCGGCGUGCCUAAUACAUGCAAGUCGAGCGAACAGACGAGGAGCUUGCUCCUCUGACGUUAGCGGCGGACGGGUGAGUAACACGUGGAUAACCUACCUAUAAGACUGGGAUAACUUCGGGAAACCGGAGCUAAUACCGGAUAAUAUAUUGAACCGCAUGGUUCAAUAGUGAAAGACGGUUUUGCUGUCACUUAUAGCUGGAUCCGCGCCGCAUUAGUUAGUUGGUAAGGUAACGGCUUACCAAGGCAACGAUUCGUAGCCGACCUGAGAGGAUGAUCAGCCACACUGGAACUGAGACACGGUCCAGACUCCUACGGGAGGCAGCAGUAGGGAAUCUUCCGCAAUGGGCGAAAGCCUGACGGAGCAACGCCGCGUGAGUGAUGAAGGUCUUCGGAUCGUAAAACUCUGUUAUUAGGGAAGAACAAAUGUGUAAGUAACUAUGCACGUCUUGACGGUACCUAAUCAGAAAGCCACGGCUAACUACGUG